rnacentral:rRNA from 1 species
CGUUACCAAACUGUGUGCCUCGGCGGGAUCUCUGCCCCGGGUGCGUCCCAACCCCGGACCAAGGCGCCCGCCGGAGGACCAACCAAAACUAUAAUUGUAUAGCCCCUCGGGGGUUUUUUACUAUCUGAGCCAUCUCGGCGCCCCUCGUGGGCGUUUCGAAAAGGAAAGAAACUUUCAACAAAGGAUCUCUUGGUUCUGGCAUCGAUGAAGAACGCAGCGAAAUGCGAUAAGUAAUGUGAAUUGCAGAAUUCAGUGAAUCAUCGAAUCUUUGAACGCACAUUGCGCCCGCCAGUAUUCUGGCGGGCAUGCCUGUCCGAACGUCUUUUCAACCCUCGAACCCCUCCGGGGGGGCGGCGUUGGGGAUCGGCCCUUUACGGGGCCGGCCCCGAAAUAAAGUGGCGGAUUCGCCGCAGCCUCUCCUGCGCAGUACUUUGUACACUCGCAUCGGGAGCGCCCCCGCCCCCACUGCCGUUAAACACCCCAAACUUCUGAAAUGUUGACCUCGGAUCAGGUAGGGAAUACCCGCUGAACUUAAGCAUAUCAAUAAGCGGAGGAA